rnacentral:rRNA from 1 species
UGGGGAAUUUUGGACAAUGGGGGAAACCCGAUCGAUCCAGCCAUCCCGCCGUGUGCGAUGAAGGCCUUCGGGUUGUAAAGCACUUUUGGCAGGAAAGAAACGUCGCGGGUUAAUACCCGCCGAACAUGACGGUACCUGCAGAAUAAGCACCGGCUAACUACGUGCCAGCAGCCGCGGUAAUACGUAGGGUGCAAGCGUUAAUCGGAAUUACUGGGCGUAAAGCGUGCGCAGGCGGUUCGGAAAGAAAGAUGUGAAAUCCCAGAGCUUAAACUUUGGAACUGCAUUUUUAACUACCGGGCUGGAGUGUGUCAGAGGGAGGUGGAAUUCCGCGUGUAGCAGUGAAAUGCGUAGAUAUGCGGAGGAACACCGAUGGCGAAGGCAGCCUCCUGGGAUAACACUGACGCUCAUGCACGAAAGCGUGGGGAGCAAACAGGAUUAGAUACCCUGGUAGUCCACGCCCUAAAACGAUGUCAACUAGCUGUUGGGGCCUUCGGCCGUUGGUAAGCGCAGCUAACGCGUGAAGUUGACCGCCU